UGCAAAUGAUGUUCCUUUUCACGAUGGUCUUCCAAGUCUUUGAGACCCUGACGAUGCUGCCCAAUGGCAUUGCUGAUGCAGCUCC